AUUGAACGCUGGCGGCAGGCCUAACACAUGCAAGUCGAACGAGUGGCGGACGGGUGAGUUAUGACUGGGAAACUGACUGAUGGAGGGGGAUAAGUAACGGGAACGGUUGCUACUAACGUCUACAUGCAGAUGUGCCCAGAUGGGAUUAGCUAGUAGGUGGGGUAAAGGCGUACCUAGGCGACGAACCCUAGCUGGUCUGAGAGGAUGACCAGUCACACUGGAACUGAGACACGGUCCAGACUCCUACGGGAGGCAGCAGUGGGGAAUAUUGCACAAUGGGCGCAAGCCUGAUGCAGCCAUGCCGCGUGUGUGAAGAAGGUCUUCGGGUUGUAAAGCACUUUCAGUUAGGAGGCGUUACUCACAGAAGAAGCACCGGCUAACUUCGUGCCAGCCGCCGCGGUAAUAC
rnacentral:rRNA from 1 species